AUACGUAGGGUGCGAGCGUUGUCCGGAAUUACUGGGCGUAAAGAGCUCGUAGGUGGUUUGUCGCGUCGUCUGUGAAAUUCCGGGGCUUAACUCCGGGCGUGCAGGCGAUACGGGCAUAACUUGAGUACUGUAGGGGAGACUGGAAUUCCUGGUGUAGCGGUGAAAUGCGCAGAUAUCAGGAGGAACACCGGUGGCGAAGGCGGGUCUCUGGGCAGUAACUGACGCUGAGGAGCGAAAGCAUGGGUAGCGAACAGGAUUAGAUACCCUGGUAGUCCAUGCCGUAAACGGUGGUCGCUAGGUGUAGGGGUCUUCCACGACUUCUGUGCCGUAGCUAACGCAUUAAGCGCCCCGCCUGGGGAGUACGGCCGCAAGGCUAAAACUCAAAUGAAUUGACGGGG
rnacentral:rRNA from 1 species